rnacentral:misc_RNA from 1 species
GAGAACUUGCCCCCCGGGGUAGAUCUCCCACCCUCUGUUUACAUACUUUGUUGCUUUGGCAGGCCCGUCUCCGGACCGCCGGCUUCGGCUGGCCCGUGCCUGCCAGAGGAUUCAAAACUCUGAUAAUUAUGUCGUCUGAGUACUAUUAUAAAUAGUUAAAACUUUCAACAACGGAUCUCUUGGUUCU